rnacentral:rRNA from 1 species
AGGAUGAACGCUAGCGGCAGGCCUAAUACAUGCAAGUCGGACGGUAUUUCCCUUUCGGGGGAGAGAGAGUGGCGGACGGGUGCGUAACGCGUAUGCAACCUGCCCCUUACAGGGGGAUAGCCCGGGGAAACCGGAUUAACUACCCCAUGUUGCGGACAGCCGGCAUCGGCUGUCCGCCAAAGCCUUCGGGCGGUAGGGAUGGGCAGUGCGUGGGAUUAGCUGGUUGGCGGUGUAACGGACCACCAAGGCUUCGAUCCCGUAGGGUUCUGAGGAGGAACGGUCCCCCACACUGGCACGUGAGAUACGGCCAGACUCCGUACGGGAGCAGCAGUAGGAA